GACAGAGGGGGCAAGCGUUGCUCGGAAUCACUGGGCGUAAAGGGCGCGUAGGCGGGAUGGCAAGUCGGUCGUGAAAUCCUUCGGCUCAACCGAAGAACGUCGGCCGAUACUGCCGUUCUUGAGGGAUGCAGAGGAGAUUGGAAUUCCCCGGUGUAGCGGUGAAAUGUGUAGAGAUCGGGAGGAACACCGGUGGCGAAGGCGGGUCUCUGGGCAUCUCCUGACGCUGAGGCGCGAAGCGUGGGGAGCAAACGGG
rnacentral:rRNA from 1 species